CUCACAGGCCGUCACUCUGGUGUCAGCCUGGCCAGCAGCAGGGAGGUCACGCUGACCUGUGCACUGCCGCAGUGCUCAUGAGGCCCCUCGGUUCUUUCUUCGUCUCUGAAGGAAGUGAUUUGAGAAGAGUAAACUUAAAUGACCAACUCUGAACUGGACCUUGGGAAUGGAAGCACAAACAGAGGUUUUGGAGAGCUCUGAUGUAAAAGAGAAAGGCCCACAAAUUGAAGCUGGGUCACAGAAUUCUGUGACCGAUUUGUGCUCACACCAGAGAAUGAGGAAGGAAUAUGAGAGGAUCCUGGAGAAUGAAGAAACAGUUAAACCAGGUUUCUGGAACAAUCAAUACGAUGCAUGAACAAUUGAACCGAAUCAUAUAUCUCUAGACUUCACACUGGUGCAGAGCUGAUUUUUGCUAUUUGUCUUCCUACGCGCCGGUCCAGACGUGGUAAGUGAAGGUCCAGCUUCGGACACCGGCUGUGCCCAGGGAGACUCUUCUGUGCCUGGUGUGGCUGGCUGCGGUCUGGAAGGAUUGCUCCUCAGCGUGGUGUACACUGCACCUGCCUUUGUGCCAACUCCUUUGCUGCUCUCCUCAACUGGGUUCCAAUUUCCCGGAUUCUCUGCCUUCCUUCUACAUCCUCAAGCAGAAACUUGGGAGCCACCUAACCCCAUUUUAUUCCGCAGACAUCAAACACCUCUAGGUGGCGUCCUUGUUCCCAUCUUCAAGGUCAUCACCCUGGGCCUGGCCAUCAUUCGUCAGCUUCUCACAGAUUCUUCCAAGCUCCAUGUGUCUGGUCUCUUUGCCUCUGGCUUGACCACUUUACCACCUAUUCUCGGUGAAGCCCUAAUUUACUUUCUAAAAUACAUAUCUGAUCUCACUCGCCCAAGAGAGACCUUCAAGUAAACUUUCACAGAUUUCAGGGUAAAAAUUCAAACUCCCUAUUUUACCGCACAAUCUCUCCAGCCUCAUUCCCUCUCUUGCAUGCUAUAUUUAAAUAUUACUGAACCCUCACCUCGGUUCCUUAAGCAUGCUUCACUCACACCCUAGAAAUACUGCUCAUGCCUGUCCUAGGAGCUCUCCCUCAUCCUCAAGUCUCAGGUCAACGACGUUCCUCAGCAAGGACGCUCCUGUUUCCAGAACACCUCUCUUCACCCUCAGUCAGAACACACCUGAUGGCACCGGCUCCUUCCACGCCGAAGGGCGCGUCACGUGCUCAGCUCUUUUCCGUGGGAACAGCAAGCACACACGGCACACAGAAGCAGCUCAAGUUCUUUCAGUGACGGGAGAAUGACAACCCACACCGGGCUGUCCCGAGAGAGUUCACCUACAACAUUUAUUUUUGAACAGAAAUAACUUCACUUGAAUGUCAAAAUAACUGCAAUAAAGAACAGAUUUGGAAAAUUAAGCUCUGGGCAAGAAAUUAAAGUCAAAUUUUGAUUAUUUAUGUAUCACAUGAAUAUAUAAAUAUACAUGAGAAUGUUUCAUUCUGUAUAUAGUUUUACAUAUUCAGAAAAUCUUUAGAAUUUUUAUACUGGAAGACAGAAAUGCAACUGUGAGGGAGUGAGUGAGGUCAGAAAGGUCAGCUGUGCGCCUUGGAGAGCCCUCCAUGGUCUGUCCAGGGCCACAGUUAUGGACAACCCCAUGUUUUUGGAAGAUGCUCUAAAAGAAUUAUUGCCAACAUGAAAUUAUAAACUGCAUAACAUUAUUGAACAAGUGGCAGCUUUAUGUUCUGUAUUUGUAAAUUUAGGUCAUGUUAACCUAGAGCAAAUCGUACUUCUCAUUCCUAACAACUGUUAAUCCAAACUGCAGUAAUAUAAGUAGUUUCCUUUACUUCAAAAGUUUCCCUU